rnacentral:misc_RNA from 1 species
ACUGCUUAACUUGUCGAUCUAAUUGUUAUGUUACUUCUUGCUUCCUCCUCACUACCCGAUACUACCGCAUCAAACUCCAGGUCCUCAAAACAAGAAACUCCACCAGAGCUGUGCUUCAGAUAAGAUCCAAAGACCCUUGGUUCCCUCCGUCGAUUUUCAGUCUUCUUGAGCCAAUCAAGCUCCUGGACGACCGAGCGGAUAAGAAGCGUGCAGGCUUCAUCGUUCUCAUUUCGGAUGGUCUAGACGGCCAGUCCAAAUGGGGAGAUGAGAGUAUCACCCCCACGGAUCCUAUCCGAGGCCUCCUCCGAAAGUACCCAGUCCACACCUUCGGUUUGGGCAAGGCUCACGACCCAAAGGCGCUUCACUAUAUCGCUGAUAUAUCCUAUGGAAUCUAUUCCUCCAUCGUCACCGACAACCUUGACAAGAUCAUCGAGGCAUUCGCCGUCUGCUUAGCUGGGUUCAAGACCGUAGUAGCCGUCGACGCUUGCGUUGACAUCUGGUCAAAUAGUUUGCUGAUAACAAGGAUCGACCCUGGGGGUUACAUACUCCGGGGGAGUUCCGGAGGCAUCUUGGUUGGCACGCUCUAUGCUGGGGAGGUGAAGGACUUCAUUGUCUACUUUUCUUAUCGUACCGGGAGUUGGUCGGGGGGUUACUAUACAAUUUUGAAUGGGAUUAAUGCCAGGGUCACGUACAGGGAAGCGCCUGGCAGGCAGUCGACCACUACUGACACUUGCUCGGUGUCGCUCCCAAUUCACGUGGCCAACAGCUCAUCUCCUCCUGCAAACCCCUGCCCACCCUACCCCAUGGUCCUGCAGCAGAUGGUCCGGUUGAAGGUGCUAGACUUGCUUAUAAGCGUCCUGAAAGAAUUCCUGGUCCUGAAGGGGGAGGCUGCUAGUGCCGUCCACGGGAAGGAAGGAGGAGAUGACCCGGUCUUGCAGGCCAUCGCAGCGAGCUUGCUGCAGAGGAAGUGGAAAGAGUUCAAGCAGUCCGAUGAAUCCUGGAAAGAAGCCCCGAGGAACUUCGUUAACCUGGGAGGCAUCGACGAGGACAUCAGCGCCAUGGUGGGUAUCCUGAAGCGGGGCUUGGGUGUUGGAUGCAUCCACUCAUGGCUGUCGAGCAAUCAGAUGCAGCGCGCGACAGCUACAGGCGGCUUGCCAGGGGCUCACAUGGUUGCAACAGGCCAAUUCCGCACGCCAGCGAUGAACGCAAUGGUGCAGGAGGCCCAUAGGCAUUUGGCCAGGGAAGCAUCUGCCCAUGAUGCGGGGACAUCAAUUGUUUGCAAGCGCGCCGUCGAGCUUCUAGAUGGGAUAAACAAGCGAUUCGAUCUCUGGUGCAAGCUGGACCAGGAAUUGCCGCGCACGAACCAACCGUCACCACACCAGGAAGAAGGCCAUGAGUCCCGUGACCUCACCGCCGUCCUACGGGGGGACAUCAACCGAGCGAGGCAGCAUGACAUAUACCUGGUCCCAUGCAUUCCGGGUUUAUCUUGGAUGCAGGCUGCCGAUCACGCGAUCAAGCAAUGGCGCAGCUUCCUCACAUCCGUGGAGAAGACGCAUGGCCACGGGCAUAUAUGAUGAGGCCACUGGCAACCACCACAGCGUGAGUGGCGUUCAGUCGAUGCAGACUCAGACAUACACAAUUAAUAUAAGUAAAUAAAUAAAUUUAAUGAGCGAGAGGCCGUGACACCAGUCCCUCCGAUCCUGAGAAUAAUUAAUAUUUGUGCGUACUAUCCUCAUCGUCAAUAUAUUGGUCCUUUGAU